UACAGUGGGGGCAAGCGUUAUUCGGAAUUAUUGGGCGUAAAGGGCGCGUAGGCGGCUUUGCAAGUGACGGGUGAAAUCCCUCGGCUUAACCGAGGAACUGCCUGUCAAACUGCAUGGCUUGAGACCGGGAGAGGUGAGUGGAAUUCCCAGUGUAGCGGUGAAAUGCGUAGAUAUUGGGAGGAACACCAGUGGCGAAGGCGGCUCACUGGACCGGUACUGACGCUGAUGCGCGAAAGCGUGGGGAGCAAACAGG
rnacentral:rRNA from 1 species